GUCCACGCUGUAAACGUUGGACACUAGGUGUGGCGGUCUGAUCAACGACUGCCGUGCCGAAGCUAACGCAUUAAGUGUCCCGCCUGGGGAGUACGGCCGCAAGGCUAAAACUCAAAGGAAUUGACGGGUCCCCGCACAAGCGGCGGAGCAUGCGGCUUAAUUCGAUGCAACCCGAAGAACCUUACCUGGGUUUGACAUCAUGGGAAAAGCCGUGGAAACACGGUGUCCGAAAGGGCCCAUGACAGGUGGUGCAUGGCUGUCGU
rnacentral:rRNA from 1 species